UCUAUACUUGCCAACGUGUACAAUACUUCCUUUCUACUUUUUUCCACUUUUGUGAACUUUUAAAAGAGAGUGUACUAUUGAUUUAUGGAACAGAUCUUAAUUUCAGGUGCUGGGAUUGGAUUUUUCAUAGUAAAAUAUUUGAAUGUAGCUUUAUUAUAGUUUAAUUCUUUAAAAUGUGUGUUCUUGAAAAACAACAGCAACAAAAUCUCAAUUGCCUUCAAUAGAUCUUGGCUGAAUAAAAUAUCAAUAGCAAAAUUUAGAUGUGUGGAAAUAUUUAUACUCUUGGCAUCACAGUGGUCAUUUUUCUCCUAAAGGUUGUGUGUGUAGUUUUGCCAGUGGUAAAAUGUGGUUGGCAGGGGAGCUAAAGCUAGUGUCUGGCUUUUUUUGUCCUUUUUAGGCUCAGGUACUACUUGCAUCAUCAGAUUUCCUAGUAUUCCUGACCACAAAACAAUUCUGUGAGGUACCUCAUUUAUAUCAGUAGUCAGUAUUAGUCACUUAAUAAACAUUUUUGACAAUCCAUUAUGUGCUAGGCCCUGAAGUAGGCUCUGGGGCUAAAUGAAUAAAGUAUGAAUCCUGCCUCAAGGAAUUUGUGGUCUGAUCCAGAGGAUAGACACAUGAAUAAUUGCACUAAUGAAUGUAGAUUGACCUCACCUCUCUGAGAUUUGUGUUAAGGACGUCUUCACAGAUGAAGUGAUCUUCAAUUUGGGUCUUGAGAAUGAUUUAGAUGUUGUCAUCUCAGCCAAGACAGUUGGGUGGAGGUUGAAAACAUUCUUGGUAAAAUUUAUGUGACAGAAAUAUCCCUCCUAGAGAAGGCAUCAAUUGCCUUUUGGGGUUUCUCAUUAAUAAGUUCAGUAAUUAUCAUUUAGUUAUGUAUUCAGAUAAUUUAUAGCUUGAAGAUGGAAGGUUCUGCAUUUCCAUGUACUAAGGUUAUCUUAAGGUUUGAUAUCAGGUAUCAGUAUAUUCUCUAAGCCCUAGGGAUUUGAUAUUCUGCCCUAAAGGAACAGGAAACAAUAGAAUCUAUUUUCCAAUUUAUACAUUAAGUACUGAUGACAGUAUGGAAAAAAAGCAAGGGGGACCUCCACUUAUUCAUGGGGACAAGAUGAAGGCAGUCAUAUAUGGCAGCAUAGCAGAACAGCAAGGCACUGAAUUGUCUGCUCAAAUUACUGCAAAAACAGAUAUCACCAGGGAACUUUAGCUGUCUUCCUUUUUCUUUUUUUUAACUUUAUGGAAGAUGGGAAGCAGUAUCUGUACUAUUUGUUGAGAUAUUUAUUCCCUGCACUGUCAUAUGCAACUGAGAUUCAACACAGAUGAAAAUAUUUUAUGUAAAUAUGUUUGAAACUCUGCUCCAUGAAACACUGGUAGUCCUAAGAAGACCGCUCAGGGUGGAUUACGCAUGGGCAGGGUUGCAACCCCUACCUGAGUUUCAGUGCAAAUACUCGACUUCUGUCUUUUCUCUAUCACUAAAAAAGUAUAAGAUUUUUCUCCACUGAAGAUUUCUCAUCUAAAAUAUUUAAACAACACUGUUCUAAGUGCUCUCUGAUGAGAAAGAAGCCCUUCUUAUGACUGCUAUUCUAAUUGAGUGGAAUAGUACCUUGUACAUACUUAGAGCAGCAUAAUGCACAAAUCCCUAAGAUGGACUGCUGAGCACCUUGUUUUGGAAAAACUCAGCUUGACUCAGAAGCUGAGUCAUUGUUCUAAUGAUGUACUUUUAUCAAUUGAAGAAGCACUUUAACUCUGUAGCCUCUGGUUCUACUGAAAGGAGUUUAAGCAAUAACCUCUUAAUGUGUAAAGUGACUCUACAGCCUGUUUUUAUUCACUUCUAGUUGUAAGAAGCUGAAGAAAUAAGAGAUUUUUAAAAGUCUUUUCAUUUAAGUGAUAUCCAAUAUCAGAGGGGUUUUUUUUUUUUCUUUUUUCUUUUCUACUUUUAGAGUCUUUGAAAGUGUUUUGGAAAUACACCUGAAGAUAUUGGAAGAGUCCAGGACCUAGAUCGGAAUCAUAUUUCCUCUGUGGGACAGGCACUGGAGCUCAGGGAAGGAAACACAGACGCACAGACACAGAGGGAAGAAGGCCAAGUGUAGAUGGAGACAGAGAUGGGAAUGAUGAUACUUCUACAAGCUGAGUAACACUGAAGAGUACUGGCAACCACUAGAAGCUGAAGAAUCAAGAAAGGAUCCUUCCCCUGCAGAGCCUGCAGAGAGAGCCUGGCCCUGCUGAUAUGGUGAUUAUAAACUUCUAGUCUCCUAACUGAGAAACAAGAAAUUUUUGCUGUUUGAAGGUGCCCAGUUUGCAGUACUUUGUUAUGACUCUUGAGAAAAUAAAUACACUGCAUGUCCAGCAUUUUUAUUUGCCAAAUCUGGUAACCCUGUAGAGGAUCUCUUCAGUCUCCUAAAAAUAUUCAUUCGAUCAUAUUAACAGGCAACUCACAAUAGCAGGGUGUUUUGUGACUACAGCUCUAUAUUCACAAACAUCUCUAAUAGGUCAUAGUUUCAGUGGAAAUUUGAUUAUUGGAAAAGAUGAAUUUUUGAUAAAUUCUACCACUAACCAAAAACCCACUGGUUUUGUCCAUAAUUAUGUACAUAUAACAAAAUCUUUUAGAAAUUUUACUGUUAGCACUCCUCAAUUCACUGUAUGAUGAAUGCAAUAUGAGAGGCAUGAUGAAAGAAUAUGUUUCUACGUGUGAUUCCCUAGGUCAAAGGGCAUAGCAGAGGACGUUAGUGGCCCACCUCUCAAUCUCUUUGCCCACCCAGAAAGUCAUCUGCAAACAAUUCCCAUAUAGCCUGAUGGUUUCCUGAGUUCUUCCACCUCGAAGUAUUCUCUGAAUGCUAUAGUUAGCCUACUUGGCAACAUAAGGCCAGAUGAACAAGGAAGUUCAUGCCCAUGAAGUGACCUUCUAUCAAUAAAAGGGGACAGUUGGUGGGUAAAUCUUCCAGCUUCCUCAGUUCUCAGUGGUACAAUCAUGAAACCUGUCUUACAGUGUCUCACGUGGUCCCCAGUGUAUUUGGGGCCAAGUUGCCCACAGAGGUAAACUGUUUAUCAGCUCACACUUCAUUGGCUUCCCGUUUCCCUGUCCUGCUUCUCUCAAAAUCACGUACCAAUUUGUGUCUGAAACUUUACUUCUGGUUUGUUUUGUUUUCUGUUGGUUGGUUGGUGUUUUCUUUCUCUUUCUGCUUUUAGUGUUAGUGUUAGUCGCUCAGUCAUGCCCGACUCUUUGCGACCCCAUGGACUGCAGCCCACCAGGCUCCUCUGUCCAUGAGAUUUUCCAGGCAAGGAUACUGGAGUGGGUUGCCAUUUCCUUCUCCAGGGGAUCUUCCCAACCCAGGGAUCAAACUGGAGUCUCCUGCACUACAGGCAGAUUCAUUACCGACUGAGCUACAAGGGAAGCCCCAAAGUAUUCUGCUUUUAGAAAACUUCAAAUAAAAAGCAAGUGAAUGCUCAUUUUAAAAGUUUUAUGUCUAAAAAUAGAUACUGUUAAAUUGCAUUCCAGCAAGAUUAAAUCUGCAUGCACUCCUACUAUAUGGCCUUUACUUUCAUUUAAACAAAACAAAACAAAUUAAAGGCUUGCCCAAACUUCUCAAUCCUGUGUGGCAAAGAUAACCUUUGGCUGCCUGACAAGUGUGGGGUGCUUUUGAAGCUACAUUAUGCCAUUAAUGAGUCCAGAAG
ensembl:lncRNA